rnacentral:rRNA from 1 species
GACUUUGAUCAUGGCUCAGAUUGGACGCUGGCGGCAGGCCUAACACAUGCAAGUCGAGCGGAAACGAGUUAUCUGAACCUUCGGGGAACGAUAACGGCGUCGAGCGGCGGACGGGUGAGUAAUGCCUAGGAAAUUGCGCUGAUGUGGGGGAUAACCAUUGGAAACGAUGGCUAAUACCGCAUGAUGCCUACGGGCCAAAGAGGGGGACCUUCGGGCCUCUCGCGUCAGGAUAUGCCUAGGUGGGAUUAGCUAGUUGGUGAGUUAAGGGCUCACAAUCGCGACGAUCCCUACCUGGUCUGAGAUGAUGAUCAGCCACACUGGAAGCUGAGACACGGGCCAAACUCCUACGGGAGGCAGCAGUGGGGCAUAUUGCACAAGGGGCGCACGCCUGAUGGACCCAUGCCGCGCGUGUCAAACAAGGGCCUUGCGCAUGUCCCGUCACUUUCCGCACGUGAGGCAAUGCAGUGCAGGUCAACAGCGUGCCGUUCCUUGGACCUUAGACCACAGAAACCAUGCACCGUGGCUAACUCGCGUGGCCAGCGGGCCCACCGCUCAACACGGCUCCCAGUAUGCUGGCCGCCGCAAAUGUCAGUAUCGUCUGCUAUGCCUGACGCUCACGACUUAAGCGACUUGGCGUGGGCCGCCUCGGUUAUUCACCCGAGCUCUGAGAGCACGGCUCCAAUUACAGGGCUGUUGUACCGAGACAUUCAUUCAGACCUUGCGCUGCCCCAUUCCCUCGUUUUCAACACGCCAUGCCGCCAACCCGUCGCCAGUACGCCAGAAGACACGCACUGGAACCCUUUCCGGAUGUGUGUUGCGACGCAUAACAUCUAGCGCCUGCGCAACCAACUUCAAGGUACUAGCCGCCUAUCAGCUAUGAAGAACAUGACGCUAUCGACAGGACCCACUCUGCCCGGGAGACUCACCCCACGUGCAAA